rnacentral:rRNA from 1 species
CAGCAGCCACGGUAAAACGUAGGUGGCAAGCGUUGUCCGGAAUUAUUGGGCGUAAAGGGCUCGCAGGCGGUUUCUUAAGUCUGAUGUGAAAGCCCCCGGCUCAACCGGGGAGGGUCAUUGGAAACUGGGAAACUUGAGUGCAGAAGAGGAGAGUGGAAUUCCACGUGUAGCGGUGAAAUGCGUAGAGAUGUGGAGGAACACCAGUGGCGAAGGCGACUCUCUGGUCUGUAACUGACGCUGAGGAGCGAAAGCGUGGGGAGCGAACAGGAUUAGAUACCCGGGUAGUCCCUGUCUCUUAUAC